UGGGAAAAAUUCUAGAAAUUU
rnacentral:piRNA from 1 species